UCUGAAGUUGUCAAGUACCGAUGGAUGGACGAGCGAUAACCUGCUGCCACCUCCAGCUAUACAAUCACCUAAAUCCAUUCUACUGGUGUGUUUUUGAUAACAAGUCCCUAUAUUCUAGAUUCAUGUCAUCCAUCUGUGAGGAAAUAAAAGUCAUCAUCCUCAGAACUUUACCCAACCUGUCUGAGGAUAUUGUACAACUGGUCGUCUCAACACUGAAAAGCUCAGGUGUGGAAUCAAAAGCAGACCUCAAGUAUGUAGAGCAGGAUGAGAUCAAAGACCUCUUGCCUGUUAUCCAGCAAAGGAAACUUCUGGAGGCAUUCAAAAUGGAAACUACAACAGUCGUGCUUGAUCUCCACCCCUUGCCAGAUGACUUGGUACAUCAAAAGUCUGCAGGGGGAAGUCUGUCUUUGUUCUCCAGUCCAUUGCCUUGCUCCUCUUCAUCUUCACUGGCUGGCUUUUCGCCCUUGUCAAGCUCUUCACCAGCUUCAGCACCUCCUGAGAUCGAGUGGAGUAAGCCAGCCCGCCACAUAAUAUCCAGUAAAUGGCAUGAAACCUUUCAAGUCCCAUGGGAUAAAAUGCCUGCUGAAGUGCAAUCAGCUAUCGCCCACAGCAGGAGACCUGCUCCUGACAAGCGACGCCAAAUGAUUAGAAUCCUUGUGGAUGAAAUGAGAAGAUGUCUGACACUGCAGCCGAUGUGGAGCGGACUCUGACCCUCCCGACCAGUCCACGACUGAUACUGCUGGAUGGGGAGUUGACUCUUCGUAUCAUCCAGCUGUUGAUGGCCUAUUUUGAUGAAAGAAGAGAUGCACUGAUACUCCUUGCAGAUAUGUCUGCCACUGCAGCCGAUGUCUGACCCUCCCGACCAGUCCACGACUGAUACUGCUGGUUGCUGGUGACAAAGUCACAAUAAAACAUUGGAUGGUCAGCAUGGAAGGUGAUGUCAUCUGCGAAGGCGUCCAACCUAGCUUCAUCUCAGGGCUUGCUGCCCUUCUUGCCACCUACUAUGUGUUCAAUUUGGAAUACCAAGAGGAAGGGGCUCGGACAUUGGAAUUUGUUCAAAGGUAAAUCCUCUUCAUACUGUUAGGAUAUUUUGCCCCUUUUCUCACCUCUGUUCAGGAAUUUGACUUGUCAUUUCCCCAAUUUUGUGCCUUAAAUCAAUGACUCUUCUGUUCCUUUGUGGACCUUCUCAUUAGGGACCGAAGCACCAGUUUGACUCUAAGAUACAGAGAAGGUAGGUAAUGUGCAGGUAAAGAUAUGUUGACUGGGUCAAAGAAGGAAGCACCUGUUUGACCCCAGGAUGCAGAAAAAGUAGGUAAUUUGCAGGUAAAGAUAUGUUGACUGGGUGAUGGCAGGAAGCACCAGCGUGACCCGAGGAUGCAGAGCAAGUAGGUAAUGUGCGGGUGAAGAUAUGUUGAAUGGGUAAAGGCAGGAAGCACCAGCGUGACCCCACUAUGCAGAGAAGGUAGGUAAUGUGCGGGUGAAGGUAUGUUGAAUGGGUGAAAGAAGGAAGCGCCGGUGUGGUCGAGGCAAUGCAGACAAGGUAGGUAAUGUGCAGGUGAAGAUAUGUUGUAUGGUGAAAGACAGAAGCACCAGUGUGAUCCCAGGAUGCAGGGAAGGUAGGUAAUGUGUAGGUAAAGAUAUGUUGAAUGGGUAAAGGCAGGAAACACCAGCUAGACUCCAGGAUACAGAGAAGGUUGAAUGGGUAAAGGCAGAAAGCACCAGCGUGACCACACUAUGCAGAGAAGGUAGGUAAUGUGCAGGUAAAGAUAUGUUGAAUGGGUAAAGGCAGGAAACACCAGUGUGACCCCAGGAUGCAGAGAAGAUAGGUAAUGAGCAGGUAACGAUAUGUUAAAUGGGUGAAAGCAGGAAACAGCGUAAAUACACGGUCCCGUAGAUGGAGAGAAAACACAUAAAUAGAGAGAGGGAUUGGGGAGGCUUUAGCAUUGUCUUCCUCUCUGAAUUUGUCUUAAUGGGUUUUAGAGCAUUCACUCAUCUACAGCUGUGGUUAUGAUUUAGGCUCACAUAUAUCCUAAAAUUGAUAUGAAUAUUUGUGCAGUGCAUAUUCCUAAAUUAACAAUGUGGGGGGAGUUCUGUAUCGACUGCAAGUAAUUUUCAAUCACAACAGAAUAUCUAAUAUGCUUUCUCUUUUUUUUUAGGCGAUUCAUUGGCGUUAACCCUGAGAGGGGAACAAAGGCUAGCCAGGGAAAGGUGGUGUCCAAGAAGACCGGGAAGCUUGUCCAGAAAAAGGCAGCAACUGUAAAUCCUCACGUAGCCAUCCUUAUAAAAAAUCUCACAGACUUUGAGUGGGGCUUUAUGUAGCCGACAACUAAACACUUGACUCGUGUUCAGUUAUUUGUCUCCAGUUUGAAAUUAAGUUGACAUGUUCUAAAUGUUAAAAUGCUUUACUGAAAAUAAGAAGAAUGCACUAAAUGUACAUUGAAUGUAUUUGAUGCGUUUUAAAAUGAUUGGUUAAUAAAAGCAUAAACUUGCA